GAUGUCAUAUAUAAGUAUAUUAUGAGAGCGUUAAAAUAUACACGUAACUCGAUACGAUAUAUUUGUUAAACAUUUCUAUAAUAAAAAAACAUGCCUAGAUCUAAUCUAUUAGGAUUAGGAUCGAACAUUGCUCAUGUUUAUUUUGGCCAAUAAGCGCUUAUUUGCGCUCACGCUUUUGCUGUCCUACUUCGAUGAAAUAAGCAUUUGUGAGCACGAAUAUGACGUCACAGAUAACGUCAUAAACGCAUCUCUAAGCGCUUACACCGCCAAAGCAAACAUCAUGAGCAAUGCUUAUAAGCGCUUAAAGCAUGUAAGUGUGCAACCCGAACGCAAUCGGAAGGGCAAACAAAGCAAUGGCUGUAUUCAGCAGAAAAAACUUAUCAGUUAGCGCUUAGUGAUUCUUUAAUAUGAUUGAUUCUUAUUUUUAGUUUUUCAUUGGAUCUACAUGUAGCAAUCAACCAUAUUAAAGAAUCAUUAAGUGCUAACUGAUUUUUUUUUUCUGCUAAACGCAGCUAAUAAUCGUGUCAGCAGUAGGUGUUCGAUCUUCUAAGAGAAUGGUGUUGCAAUAUGUUAGAUAAGGACAAAUGAAUGCAUUUGAUCACAUAGAACUUAUAGUAAAAGAACCGAAAUAACCUAUCCAAGCAGUGAGUGGUGUGAGCAACAUCUGAGAUAGAAUAUGCAUUUCUAUAUAUUUCUGUCCUGUUCAGCAACUUUUCUUCUUUCUGCGCAUAUGCCAAAAUAGGAUAGAAGAGAAUAGAAUAAUAUUUCUGUCCUUUAGAUGUUGCUUACACAGCUCGAUGUUCGUAUUCCCCUUCCAUUACUAUAAGUUCUAUGUUUGCGAGACACAACGAUAUGUAAUAAGUAAGAACUUAAUGAAAGAUGUCACUAUUGUUAAAUUUGGAAUUAAAGUCUGUACUAUCGACCUCGAUCAAGUUCAGCCGUCGAUCCAGCAUCCCCUUAAAGAAGAACGAAGAGCACACAGUAUUCAUAAUUUUAAAAUCCUUUUCUAGAAUUAAAGUAUACGUAUUAAUACGUAUCUGUGAGGUGGAAUGUAUGCCGAGAACGACCAAAAAUUUCGAAAUUCAUAUAUUUUUUACCAUUUCUUAGUGUAACAUGGCGUCUCGAACUGUCAACAUAUGUCGUGGUACGAAAGUUUUGCAAUCUGUACUUAGGAAAUAAUCCACAGACAUGUAGUUUGCAUGAACAAAUAACGUCGAGUUCUUAGAAUUAGACUUAGACACUUUAACGAGUGACGAAUUUGUUAUAUGAAAAUUAAUACAAAUGUGCGACUGUGUGUAUCAUAGAUUGCAUGAGAUAUUUAUAUAUAAAGCUGGAAAAACAAUGGAAAAAUCUCUGUCUAGUGACUUCGUCAGAGUUUGGGUUUCACUUUAGGAUCUUUUUAAGACUAUUUACAAUUUUGAACAAAACAAUUUUAAAUACAAGAAUCGAUUCUGAAUAUCUGCUGAUAUUCAUAUCAGCUGAAAUUCUUAUUCUCUGUUCUUUAUUCCUUUGAUUGUAUGCAACCCCUCAUAGAAUCAUUUCAUCCUUGUUUUUCUGUCAGAUUUUUCAAUUGUAUGUAAAAACGCAUCAAAGUCUAAUCUCAUUUUUUUAGGUGCGGGAGGCUAAACUGUGUAAUUACCUUCUUUAUAGCAAAUAUUUAAACCAUAUAAUAUGAAAAUAUUCAAUAAGUAUUACUAUAUAACAAAAAAUUUUUCUCUUUCUACUAUACGACUACGUUUACACGACUCAAUUUACCAAAGUUAUAAUACCAUAUUAUGAAACUGGCCAAUCAUAGUUAUUUCUCUACAGAAUAGAAUAACUGUGAUUGGCCACAUCGAUGUUAUAACUUCAGCGUAAAUCGAAUUAUGUAAACGUAAUCAAUACAAUGUUCAUAUAUACAGAGCUUAUAGAUUGUUACACAUAAUAAAAUCAAACUGAUAUAUGAUUUUUUUCUUCCAAAAUCCUUAUCCAAACCAAUGAUUACCCAUGCAUUCUCUAGUCCAUUCUGUUU